UACGGGGGGAGCAAGCGUUGUUCGGAUUUACUGGGCGUAAAGGGCGCGUAGGCGGUCAGCACAAGUCAGUUGUGAAAUCUCCGGGCUUAACUCGGAAAGGUCAACUGAUACUGCGCGACUAGAGUGCGGAAGGGGCAACUGGAAUUCUCGGUGUAGCGGUGAAAUGCGUAGAUAUCGAGAGGAACACCUGCGGCGAAGGCGGGUUGCUGGGCCGACACUGACGCUGAUGCGCGAAAGCCAGGGGAGCGAACGGG
rnacentral:rRNA from 1 species